UACGUAGGGGGCAAGCGUUAUCCGGAUUUACUGGGUGUAAAGGGAGCGUAGACGGCUUUGCAAGCCAGAUGUGAAAGCCCGGGGCUCAACCCCGGGACUGCAUUUGGAACUGUAUGGCUGGAGUGUCGGAGAGGCAGGCGGAAUUCCUAGUGUAGCGGUGAAAUGCGUAGAUAUACGGAGGAACACCAGUGGCGAGGGCGGCCUGCUGGACAUUAACUGACGCUGAGGCGCGAAAGCGUGGGGAGCAAACAGG
rnacentral:rRNA from 1 species